rnacentral:misc_RNA from 1 species
UCCGAGUUAUCCCCGGCAGUCUCAUUAGAGUGCUCAACUUAAUGUUAGCAACUAAUGACAAGGGUUGCGCUCGUUGCGGGACUUAACCCAACAUCUCACGACACGAGCUGACGACAACCAUGCACCACCUGUCUCAAAGUUCCCCGAAAGGCACUCCUCAAUCUCUUGUGGAUUCUUUGGAUGUCAAGUCCUGGUAAGGUUCUUCGCGUUGCUUCGAAUUAAACCACAUGCUCCGCUGCUUGUGCGGGCCCCCGUCAAUUCCUUUGAGUUUUAGUCUUGCGACCGUACUCCCCAGGCGGAGUGCUUAUUGCGUUUACUGCGGCACAGAGGAUGUCGAAAUCCCCUACACCUAGCACUCAUCGUUUACAGCGUGGACUAC